UGCCAGGUCGAAGCGAGUGCAACGGCGGGAGCGGAGGACCCAGGCACGACGGGACGCGCCCGCAGCACGUACGGGCCGUCUCUUGGGGUGAAGCCGCUGCAUGCGGCCGGGCAUCUUCGCCUGCUCGAACCCGACAGGUCAUCCUUCGCAGGCUGACGACGAAGGGUUG
rnacentral:sRNA from 2 species